rnacentral:lncRNA from 1 species
ACUGCCGCCCCCAUUUAAUGCGCGCACGUCAGAAUCCGUUUUUCGGUGAAGGUGACUUGAAAAGUCUUUUCGGAGUUCCCAUCGAAACGCGAUCCCAAGCGUCGCUCUGCGGGAAUUCACGAGCGGUCAACCCUUGAUGGCGGUGAAGGGGAUAAGCGCGCCACGCGGCACACGCCAGUUGGCCCAGGAAUACCCGCUGCCAUAAUUGCGCCAGGAUCCAUCGGCUAUUUAAACCCCUCAGUCCCUUCGUGAUUUCAUCCUGGCGCGAUUCUUUCAUCUGAGAGUCCUGCUUCUCUCGCCCCAGUUCCUGUCUCCUCCCCUUAUACCAUGUUAUCCACUCGGGAGGCUGUCCUCGAGGGAAUUCUUAGGGUUUGGAGGAAGGAGAGAAGGAAAAUGGCGGCCGGUGGAAAUCUC